rnacentral:tRNA from 1 species
CGGUAUAGCUCAGUCGGUAGAGCAACUGAUUUGUAAUCAGUAGGUCCCGGGUUCGACUCCUGGUGCCGG